UACGAAGGGGGCUAGCGUUGCUCGGAAUCACUGGGCGUAAAGGGUGCGUAGGCGGAUAGUUCAGUCGGGGGUGAAAGCCCGGGGCUCAACCUCGGAACUGCCUUCGAUACUGGCUAUCUUGAGUACGGGAGAGGUGUGUGGAACUCCGAGUGUAGAGGUGAAAUUCGUAGAUAUUCGGAAGAACACCAGUGGCGAAGGCGACACACUGGCCCGUUACUGACGCUGAGGCGCGAAAGCGUGGGGAGCAAACAGG
rnacentral:rRNA from 1 species